rnacentral:rRNA from 1 species
AGGAUUAACGCUGGCGGCGUGCCUAACACAUGCAAGUCGAACGAGAAAGGGGAGCAAUCCCUGAGUACAGUGGCGACCGGGUGGGUAACACGUGACUAACCUACCCUCGAGUGUGGAAUAACAUCGGGAAACCGAUGCUAAUACCGCAUAAUAUCGCAAGAUCAAAGGAGUAAUCCGCUUGAGGAGGGGGUCGCGGCUGAUUAGCUAGUUGGCGGGGUAAUGGCCCACCAAGGCGAAGAUCGGUA